CGGGGGGGCAAGCGUUGUUCGGAAUUACUGGGCGUAAAGGGUGCGUAGGCGGCUCUCUAAGUCGGAUGUGAAAACUCUGGGCUCAACCCAGAGCCUGCAUCCGAAACUGGAGGGCUAGGGUUCUGGAGGGGAAAGCGGAAUUCCUGGUGUAGCGGUGAAAUGCGUAGAUAUCAGGAGGAACACCGGUGGCGAAGGCGGCUUUCUGGACAGAUACCGACGCUGAGGCACGAAAGCUAGGGGAGCAAACAGGAUUAGAUACCCUGGUAGUCCUAGCCCUAAACUAUGGGUACUUGCUGUGGGGGGGAUUGAAGCCCCUUGUGGCGAAGCUAACGCAUUAAGUAUCCCGCCUGGGGAGUGCGGUCGCAAGGCUG
rnacentral:rRNA from 1 species